rnacentral:rRNA from 1 species
ACAUCCAGAGAAUUUAGCAGAGAUGCUUUAGUGCCUUCGGGAACUCUGAGACAGGUGCUGCAUGGCUGUCGUCAGCUCGUGUUGUGAAAUGUUGGGUUAAGUCCCCGNAACGAGCGCAACCCUUAUCCUUUGUUGCCAGCACGUAAUGGUGGGAACUCAAGGGAGACUGCCGGUGAUAAACCGGAGGAAGGUGGGGAUGACGUCAAGUCAUCAUGGCCCUUACGAGUAGGGCUACACACGUGCUACAAUGGCGCAUACAAAGAGAAGCGACCUCGCGAGAGCAAGCGGACCUCAUAAAGUGCGUCGUAGUCCGGAUUGGAGUCUGCAACUCGACUCCAUGAAGUCGGAAUCGCUAGUAAUCGUAAAUCAGAAUGUUACGGUGAAUACGUUCCCGGGCCUUGUACACACCGCCCGUCACACCAUGGGAGUGGGUUGCAAAAGAAGUAGAUAGCUUAACCUUCGGGAGGGCGUUUACCACUUUGUGAUUCAUGACUGGGGUGAAGUCGUAACAAGGUAGGCGUAGUGCU